GCUACUGUGUGUAAUUUACCCUA
rnacentral:snRNA from 1 species